CAAUGAUCCUGACCUCUGGGAGGCUUUGAAGAAGGCAAACUUAAGGGAUGUCAUCAGAAGGAAUGAUUGUGGUUUGGAUGCAGAGGUAAAACCAUAAAUUCUCUUCGUCAACCAGUUUAUUUCAACUUCUUCUCAUAUUUAAAUGAGUAAAUGUAGCAUUAAACUCAAAAGCUGUUCGUUGCUGAAAAAUUUUGUUAUGUCUGUGUCAAGGUUUUAGAAGGAGGUGAGAACUUCAGUGUUGGACAGAGGCAACUAUUAAGUCUAUCUCGAGCAUUACUACGAAGAUCAAAGAUCCUUGUUCUUGAUGAAGCAACAGCAGCUGUUGACUUUAGAACUGAUGCUCUUAUACAGAAAACCAUUCGUGAAGAAUUCAAAUUGUGCACGAUGCUUAUCAUUGCUCACCGAAUAAAUACAAUCAUCGACAGUGACCAGAUUCUAGUUCUCGAUGCUGGACAGGUAUCUCGCCAUAACAUUGUGGUUUACUUCCCUUUUCUCCACUUGAAAUUCUCUGUUCGGUUAACAAAAUUCAAAACCAUCGAAAGCUGAAGAAAAUUCAAUAUUGUGAAUUCAUUGUGUUUCACUUACAGGUUGUUGAAUAUGAUACUCCACAAAAACUUCUUCAAAGUGAAGGACGAGCUUUCUAUAAAAUGGUUCAGAGUACGGGAACUGCAAAUGCUCAGUACCUGCGCAGUUCAGUAUCAAGAAAGAACGAAGAGAAUAAGUUCAAGAAUGGAGGGGGUAUACUCUGAGCAAAUAAGAUGGCGAUUAUCUUCUUCUGUAAUGCCGCUACACAGUUUGCUCUUGCGGCCAAUAUUGCUUCAUCAGUAAAGGACCUUCAAGUGUUAGAGUUUGAAGAGGGGAACAAUAUCUUCAAUAAAACAAAGGAUGCAAUGGUACAAUGUGAUCAAUGAGACUACGGAGCAAAGGAAAAAAUGUAAUUUUUAUUCCUUUUAAUAAGGAAACAGUCACCCUUUUAUGGAUGGAUUACAACUAAUAAAAGAUAAGAGAUAAGCUUCGGUAAAACAAAUAUAUAAAGCUACUAAAUCUACAUCUGUAUAUCUGGAUUUCUAGAAGGAUAAAUAUAUGUGUACCGAA
rnacentral:lncRNA from 1 species